GGGACGUAGCCCGCGCUGCCCUCGUCAACUGGGCGGCGAGCCAGAUGGCGCGGACCCCACCCAUCCAUCUAUGAGGAGCGGGAAGACCAGCUGAGAGACGCCGCGCUGUCCCGCCGCAGCCACACACUGCCGGUGCAGUGACUCAGACCAUUCGUGGGCGGCCUCAGAACAGCCUCACUAGACAGGAUGGAUGGCCCGCCUCUCCCACGCCCAUCCGCCCACUGCCCACCACGCCCACGGCCCACACUACUCCCUUCCACGCCGCCCUCAACACACCCAGCGGCUUGCACAACCUCAUGGCAAGGUUCGGAGGCCUCCAGAGAGCUGGCCAGAGUGAAGCUUGUGUUAUAGAGGGACAGCUGCUAAUCAUCAAGCUUAUUGAGUGACUGGAGGAAAGUGGAGGAGCCUGGAGGGAGUCGUGGAGGUACAGUACUCGGAGAAAAUCCCUCCACCAUGAUGACUGGGUGUCUGCUGUACAGUCCACCGACCAAUGGUGAGAGAGGGAGAGGGAGACUGGCUAAUGGUGGAUGAGAGAGAGAGAGAGAGAGAGAGAGAGAGAGAGAGAGAGAGAGAGAGAGAGAGAGAGAGAGAGAGAGAGUCUUGAUAAAUAAUAUUGAGCACAGACUUCACCGCUGGGUCGACUGUGGGGGCUGCGUUAUUCCGCUGGGGAAGCACUGGCCGGUUGGUGGCCGUGGCUGUUCACGCACUUGCUCUUGCUGUGGCUGGCAUGCUGUUCUGUCCUCUCUUCUUCCAGGAAUUGCUGUCUGAGGUGUGUGUGUGUGUGUGUGUGUGUGUGUGUGUGUGUGUGUAGGAGCCAUCAUGAUCAACCACAGCAGGUGAUAAUGAUGGUUCCUGCUUUCAUCGUCAUUGGGGCUAGCCAGACCAACCUGGGGCUGUACUCUGGGGUGACACUGUAUGCCUCAGGUGGGUCUGGAGGGCUGGGAUAGUGGGUAACAAUUAAAAAAGACUAGCAUACACUUAAACCAUUACAAACACUAUGUAAUGCUGGUUAGUUUUGGAUGAGUUUGGGUGUGUUUUGGGGUGUUUUAAGUUUUUUGGCUAUUUUAAAGGAGUUUGGGUGUGUUUGGGUGUGUUUUUGGUGUGUUUGGGUGUGUUUUGGGAUGUUUCGGUCAGUUCUAGAUGAGUUUGGGUGUGUUUUGGGGUGUUAAGUGUUUUUUUGGCUAAUUUAAAGGAGUUUGGGUGUGUUUUGGGGUGUUUUGGGUGUGUUUGGGCUAAUUUAAAGGAGUUUGAGUGUGUUUGGGUGUGUUUUGGGGUGUUUUGGGUGUGUUUAGGUGUGUUUUGCGGUGUUUUGGGUGUGUUUUGGGGUGUAGAGAGACGGAUGUGAUGUGUGCAGGGUGCCUCAGUCCCUGGAUGGGUGUAGGAGUGCGUGGUGGUGGUGUCUGUGCCUCGUGGUGUUAGAAUGCCAGCCUGCAGGUGUAGUACAUGGAAAGGGACAGAUAAUUUAAGACAGUCUAUCAUAUUUAAUUAUUUUGUUUAUUCAUUCAUUUACUAUUAUCAUUAUUUUUAUUGUUUUUAAAGGGGGAUUAAUUUUUUCGCUCAUCUUUUGUGUUCGGGAAUUCGUGAUUAGUGCUGCUGUUGACAAAAAAAAAAGGGAGAGAUCGUUUUAUUUCUUAGUGUGGAAAUUAUCGCGGUGUGUCAGGUGCUGAAUGGUGUU